rnacentral:rRNA from 1 species
UACAGAGGUGGCAAGCGUUGUUCGGAAUUACUGGGCGUAAAGGGCGCGUAGGCGGUCUCGUAAGUCCUGUGUGAAAUCCCCCGGCUCAACUGGGGAACUGCACAGGAAACUGCGGGACUUGAGUUCGGGAGAGGGAAGCGGAAUUCCGGGUGUAGCGGUGAAAUGCGUAGAUAUCGGAAGGAACACCAGUGGCGAAGGCGGCUACCUGGACUAACACUGACACUGAGGCGCGAAAGCGUGGGGAGCAAACAGG